UACGUAGGGAGCAAGCGUUGUCCGGAUUUAUUGGGCGUAAAGAGCUCGUAGGCGGCUUAGAAAGUCAGGUGUGAAAACUCUGGCUUAACCCAGAGACGCCACUUGAUACUUCUAUGGCUUGAGUUCGGUAGGGGACCAUGGAAUUCCUGGUGUAGCGGUGAAAUGCGCAGAUAUCAGGAGGAACACCGAUGGCGAAGGCAGUGGUCUGGGCCGAUACUGACGCUGAGGAGCGAAAGCGUGGGGAGCGAACAGG
rnacentral:rRNA from 1 species